rnacentral:rRNA from 1 species
UACGUAGGGUGCAAGCGUUAAUCGGAAUUACUGGGCGUAGAGCGUGCGCAGGCGGUUUUGUAAGUCUGUUGUGAAAUCCCCGGGCUCAACCUGGGAAUGGCAAUGGAGACUGCAAGGCUAGAGUUUGGCAGAGGGGGGUAGAAUUCCACGUGUAGCAGUGAAAUGCGUAGAUAUGUGGAGGAACACCGAUGGCGAAGGCAGCCCCCCUGGGUCAAAACUGACGCUCAUGCACGAAAGCGUGGGGAGCAAACAGG